GGCUCAGAACGAACGCUGGCGGCAGGCCUAACACAUGCAAGUCGAGCGCCCCGCAAGGGGAGCGGCAGACGGGAGAGUAACACGUGGGAACGUGCCCUUCAGUUCGGAACAACCAAGGGAAACUUUGGCUAAUACCGGAUACGUCCGUAAGGAGAAAGAUUUAUCGCUGAAAGAUCGGCCCGCGUCUGAUUAGCUAGUUGGUGGGGUAAUGGCCCACCAAGGCGGCGAUCAGUAGCUGGUCUGAGAGGAUGAUCAGCCACACUGGGACUGUGUCACGGCCCAAAGACCUACGGGAGGCAGC
rnacentral:rRNA from 2 species